UACGUAGGUGGCAAGCGUUUGUCCGGAAUCACUGGGCGUAAAGGGCGCGUAGGCGGCUCGGUAAGUAGGGGGUGAAAUCCUGCGGCUUAACUCGGAAAGGUCAACUGAUACUGCGCGGCUAGAGUGCAGAAGGGGCAACUGGAAUUCUCGGUGUAGCGGUGAAAUGCGUAGAUAUCGAGAGGAACACCUGCGGCGAAGGCGGGUUGCUGGGCUGACACUGACGCUGAUGCGCGAAGCCAGGGGAG
rnacentral:rRNA from 1 species